rnacentral:rRNA from 1 species
CGCGGCCUAUCAGCUUGUUGGUGAGGUAACGGCUCACCAAGGCGACGACGGGUAGCUGUUCUGAGAGGAAGAUCAGCCGCACUGGGACUGAGACACGGCCCAGACUCCUACGGGAGGCAGCAGUGGGGAAUCUUGCGCAAUGGGCGAAAGCCUGACGCAGCGACGCCGCGUGCGGGAAGACGGCCUUCGGGUUGUAAACCGCUUUCAGCAGGGACGAAAAUGACGGUACCUGCAGAAGAAGCUCCGGCCAACUACGUGCCAGCAGCCGCGGUAAGACGUAGGGGGCGAGCGUUGUCCGGAAUCAUUGGGCGUAAAGGGCUCCUAGGUUGUUCAGUAAGUCGACUGUGAAAAUCCAAGGCUCAACCUUGGGACGCCAGUCGAUACUGCUGUGACUCGAGUUCGGUAGAGGAGUGUGGAAUUCCUGGUGUAGCGGUGAAAUGCGCAGAUAUCAGGAGGAGCACCAACGGCGAAGGCAGCACUCUGGGCCGAUACUGACACUGAAGAGCGAAAGCAUGGGGAGCAAACAGGAUUAGAUACCCUGGUAGCCCAUGCCGUAAACGUUGGGCACUAGGUGUGGGGUUCUAUCAACGGACUCCGUGCCGCAGCUAACGCAUUAAGUGCCCCGCCUGGGGAGUACGG